CCUACGGGAGGCAGCAGUGAGGAAUAUUGGUCAAUGGGCGAGAGCCUGAACCAGCCAAGCCGCGUGAAGGAUGACUGCCCUAUGUGUUGUAAACCUCUUUUGUAUGGGAAUAAAAGGUGUGACUAGUCCCCGCAUGUAUGUACCUUAAGAAAAAGCAUCGGCUAACUACGUGCCAGCAGCCGCGGUAAUACGUAGGGGCCGAGCGUUAUCCGGAUUUAUUGGGUGUAAAGGGAGCGCAGGUGGCAUGUUAAGUCAGUUGUGAAAGUCCGUGGCUCAACCCGAGAACUGCAUUUGAAACUGGCAGGCUGGAGUGCAGUAGCGGUGGGCGGAAUUCGUGGUGUAGCGGUGAAAUGCGUAGAGAUCAGGAGGAACACCGGUGGCGAAGGCGGCCCGCUGGACUGCGACUGACGCUGAGGCGCGAAAGCGUGGGGAGCAAACAGGAUUAGAUACCCCAGUAGUC
rnacentral:rRNA from 1 species